rnacentral:sRNA from 1 species
GCGGCGGGGGCGGGGCGGGCCCGAGGGGCGGGGCCCUGCCCACGUGAUCGGGCGUCCCCUGGCGCGCAAGGUGGAGCGCGCGAGCCGGAGAGCGAGCGAGCGUGCGAGCGAGCGUGCGAGCUCCGGUCCUGGGUCCGAUCUUGGUUUGGUUAGACGUUCAGCGCAGUCCCAGCGGAUGGUUGUGUAUGCUGCGUACGUUAGUGCUCCGUGCCUCAGUUUGCUCAUCUCAACUAUGGGGAUAUCAGUGUUUCCAGGCGCAGAAGAAAUGGGGAAAAGACUUGGAAAGCGUUUGACACAUCGGGGCUAUAAAUAAUAGCCAUUAUUAGCAUAGAGUCUAAGAACAGUGGCCAUAAAGAGGAGAGCGCGGAUCGCAGUCCCCCACUACCACAAAUUAUGCAGUCGCUUUUCCUGCAUUUGGGGAAAUCGCAGGGGUCAACACAUCCGGAGUGCAAUGGAUAAGCCUCGCCCUGGGAAAACCACCUUCGU